GCCAGUAACCUGUUCAAUAGUAACCACAGUUAAUGCUUACACACUUCACUGGUCUGUGAACGUGUUUCACAGAGGAAAGAUACCCACCCAUGAUUCGAUAUUUGAGAGAAUUGUUUGUGAAAGAGUCUUCCAGACCGCAGCGGGGCUGCCUCAUCAUUUCCAGUGUGGAUGAAUCCAGGAUUCCAGAUACUUGAAGUAAAACUCCAGCCGCAGACGGUUUUGUUUGUUCUUACCACUGCUUCGGUGAGGUCCUUGCUGCUCAGAGCAAUAGAUGAAGCUGUUGUCAGCAAAACAAGAAGCACCAUUAGCUCCAGUCUGCAGAACAUUUUCCACUCUGGAUCCUUUCCCAUCACAGAUGAAAAACAAAACUGGCUAGAAUAAAUUUGUGAAAAAAACAAGUGACCACAUAUUCCCCAGAGGGACAAGAGGAACCGCUUGUUAUUUCGCUUCUUAAUGUAGGAUCGCAUUCAAGAGAAACCAGCGACGCCUCCAAGUAACCAUUGCAACAAAUCAGUGACAGAGAACGUCUCGUUUUCAGUCUCAUUGAGAAACAAUGGCUCAUAAAAACUGAGAGGAGAGAAAAAGUCAGUCUGUAAUCUCCAACCAUGUUUUUAAAAAACGGCUAAUAUUAAUGAUAACGCAUAAUUUAGUCCUUCUGAGAAAGAUAAAAGAUUUUUCUCUAUUCCCUUAAACUUUUUAACUGUUUUUUUUCUCCUCCAUUAGAUUAAGCCAAGUUACAGAUGACUAAUGAAAGUGUUAUUUGAUGUACACUACAGAAACACAAAGUCUUACAAAGUAUUUCUGCUUUGUUUCUAGUGCAAAUAUCUUAUUACACUUGACAUGAGACAAAACUAACUUAAAAGUAACAUUUCAGUAAGAUAAACAAGCUUGUUUCAAGUAGAUAAUUCCUGAAUAUAAAGUACUACUUUCACUUUUAGAUUAUUUCACUUAUAAAAUGGGGGAAACGUGUUAUUAUAAGUGACAUAACCUGCAACAAUAUUAAUUCAUUAUUGACUUAAAAGUUCCUAUAUCUUGCUUAAAAGUUACUUGUUAGUUAGUUUUAUAAUAUUACAAAGUAAUAUAAUAUUUGGAUUAGAAACUGUUAAAAAAAUUCUUGGUGUGAUUGUGUUUUUCAGUGUACUUAGAAAACUAUGAAAAUAUGUUGCAUGAUUGAUUACCAACAGCAUAUGUUGAUAUAUUCUUGAAUUUUACAAAGCUAUGAGGUUUAGUUUAUGUCCUAGUAUUGGUUAUUAACAAUCGCUGUUUCAAAUUGAUUAAAGAGGUUUAAUAAAUACCCUUUAAAAGUAUUACAGGUUUCAUAAUCUGUGAACUUUUAUUUCAAGCACAACAGAAAUGUAAUGUAGAUCAAAAUUGAGCAGUAUGUAAUACAAUUAUGGAAAAUAUAACUGAAGCCUCAUCUGUAAGCAGAUACAAGCAGUUGUCCACUAAAAACGAUCAGUUUCUCCUGAUGUUUGAUUGUCUGCAGCUUAUGUUCUGGCGAUGAACUUAAUUUUCAUUGUAUCAAAGUCAAGAUGCCCAGAAGGUUACCCACUGCAGGUAAGAUACUGACUGCUCUUAUUGGAGCUGUGCCUUUAAGUUAACUACAUUCAUCAGAGAGAAAGAAAUGGCUGCAUUCAUAUAAUGCCUUUCUAUUCUUGUUGACCACACGAUGCUUUACAACACAAACCACAAGAACCCCAAUGGCACACAUAUGAAUACGUCGCUUUUUACUCAAUGCACCGUGUACAUUUGUGUUCCAACGCUCAGCGACCGCAUAAGAACCAAUGUCGUGAAGGACAAGAUUGGGACGCUUCUUAAAUUUUUCUAAAUUGAAUUGUAACUGCAUGCAAUAGGAUAUAAAAACAUUGAUUAUCCUUUACUGUUACUGGGGUCUCCCUUUUUUUAAUCAGGAUAAAUAAGACAUUGGAAUAAUUUACCAAAUACUUCAGGACGCCUCUGCAAGGUAUAAGCAGACUUUGCAUCUGCUAUUAGACCUCUCCUGCUGACCUGGAGGAUAUGAAACAAUUUUCUUUUGUUUCACUUUGAGUAAAGUGUAUUCAGUAACACUUUACCCAAAGUGGGCAGAAAGAAAAGUAAUUAUGCCAUAAAAAUAUGUAAAAGAUUUUGACUGCCAAUAUUCUGACAAUUUUCGUGGUUUUAAUUUAGAUUGUAAUUGAGCAGGUAAAAAUUUUUAAAAAAGACACAAGAAAUAAUAUUUAAAUGUAUUAUUAUUAUUAUUGUUGUUGUUGUUGUUGUUUGUUGGUUAUUUUGUUGAGCUGACAAAAAAAAGCAUUCUCAUUUUAUAUCUUUGCUGUUAUUUGCACAAUCAUCUGCAUAUUCUUUUGUAAAUAGGAUUUUGUAAAAUCAGACAUAUUUUGUAAAUUUUUAAAAUGAUGUUGAAUAGAAAAAUAGAAAAAAUAGAAACAUUAUUCUACUCAGGUGCAAAUCUCUUUGAAACUUUUUCAGUAACUGCACAGUAUUGUUCCUUAUGUUGUAACUUUGACCUCACAAUACAGUGAUUGUUUAUUUUUUCUUCAUAUUUUACCUUUGUGUGAAUCAGCAUGCGAUUCCCCCACUGAGAGAUAAUAAAGAAUAUCUAAUUCUAUUCUCAAAUGUCAAAAGUUAAAUUUGAAGAACUCUCCUCCCAGAGGUUUCCUUUGGAGUCUAAAUGUAGACAAAGCAAGCUAUUUAAGUUUAAGUUUAUUAAAAUAGACAACCAAAGGCUGAAUUAGAAUCUUUGUUUAGGUUAAAUUUUGAUGGAGAAUGUGAGCUAAAAAAGUUUUAUUGAAUCGUUUUGAGCAAAAUGAGGGCAAUGACUGGCUGACCUGACAAGAGCAAAAAAUAAAAAAAGUGUUUGGAGAGCAGUUCAACAAUGCAAUGAAAAACUCACAG